rnacentral:rRNA from 1 species
UACGUAGGGGUCUAGCGUUGUUCGGAUUCAUUGGGCGUAAAGGGUGCGUAGGCGGCGGGGCAAGUCUGAUGUGAAAUCCCGGGGCUCAACCCCGGAACUGCAUUGGAUACUGCUCUGCUUGAGCACUGGAGAGGAGACUGGAAUUUACGGUGUAGCAGUGAAAUGCGUAGAUAUCGUAAGGAAGACCAGUGGCGAAGGCGAGUCUCUGGACAGUUGCUGACGCUGAGGCACGAAGGCCAGGGGAGCAAACGGG